rnacentral:rRNA from 1 species
AGUGAACGCUGGCGGUAGGCCUAACACAUGCAAGUCGAACGGCAGCACAGGAGAGCUUGCUCUCUGGGUGGCGAGUGGCGGACGGGUGAGGAAUACAUCGGAAUCUACUCUGUCGUGGGGGAGAACGUAGGGAAACUUACGCUAAUACCACAUACGACCUACGGGUGAAAGCAGGGGAUCUUCGGACCUUGCGCGAUUGAAUGAGCCGAUGUCGGAUUAGCUAGUUGGCGGGGUAAAGGCCCACCAAGGCGACGAUCCGUAGCUGGUCUGAGAGGAUGAUCAGCCACACUGGAACUGAGACACGGUCCAGACUCCUACGGGAGGCAGCAGUGGGGAAUAUUGGACAAUGGGCGCAAGCCUGAUCCAGCCAUACCGCGUGGGUGAAGAAGGCCUUCGGGUUGUAAAGCCCUUUUGUUGGGAAAGAAAUCCAGCUGGCUAAUACCCGGUUGGGAUGACGGUACCCAAAGAAUAAGCACCGGCUAACUUCGUGCCAGCCGCCGCCGUAA